rnacentral:lncRNA from 1 species
UGACAGCACGUCCCUAAAAAUUAUAGUUUUUAUAAUUUUUAAAGUGUGAAAUUACAAAAAUGCCCUAGAAGUGAAGGUGUUGACUUUCAUUGACCAACAUGUAGUGAAACGUACUAAAUAUUCUUUUAGUGUAUCCUGAAGUAUUUGACGAUACAAAUGCGUAAACGCAAACAGAAGUGAAUUUGGAGUUACAAUUAAAGUUUUAUGGAGCUACGAACCGAAUGUAUUUUGAAGAAAUAAUUUAUUCUAAGAAUAUUAUAUUAUUUUGUA